CGAUGAAAAUAUUAUAUUAUUCGUUGAAAUUCACGUACGUUUCAAAUCCAUAUUUUUUUUUUUUUUUUUUUUUUUUUUUUUUUUUUUUCUUCCAAUUUACAGAUACAAUAGCGCAGUGAUCAAACGAAUCGCCGUUCGAACGUGUUUCGUCGACUAAUUGAUACAAAUUUGCAUAUGUACAACGUACGAAGAUGAAACACAAGGAACGGAAUAUGUAUAUUUAUAUACACGAAUCGGAGCAUGUGUUAUGAAUGCAUAAUAUGCACGCAUGUAAAUGUAUAUCUUUGUAUAAUAUGACGUUGUGUGUGUGUGUGUGUGUGUGUGUGUGUGUGUUUGCGCGCGCGCUCAUGUGCGUGCGUGCGUGCGUGCGUGCGUGUAUACAUGCGUGUGGUCGUGCGUGUAUGUGUGUCUGUAUCCUUGUAAAAUGUACGUCGCGUUUCAUGUACGUAUGUAUGUAUGUACGAAACAUUUCGCAUAGACGUUCUGGGAGUGGAAUCAAGAUAUAUCGAGUAUAUGAAAAGCAAUCGUUUUUAAAAAUGUAGAAAUUCGCUUGUUAAUAAACGUAUACGCAAUAGUUUGGCCAUCGGUCUUUGCCAUACAAGGAUAAUAAUUUUUAUCGACUACUAUCGUUAACUAGGGAUGAAGUCAUCGUGAAAAAAGAACCGGAAGUCCAUAAUUGUUUGUUUCUUUUAUAGACAGGGGAACGAUACCCGUUCGGUUAGAAGAAAAUGUUUUCACGAAGAAAAACGCACAAGGAUAGCAUAGUCUCAUAAAUUUCAAAUACAUGUGCAAUAAUACAUGUGUAUAUAAUUUUUUUUUUUUUUUCUUAAGAAGCGGUAAUUCGUUUUUCGCGAUCCUAAUGGUGCCUUUAAUGUACGCGUGUUCGCUUGUUAUGCCUUAUCGUUUCCUUUAACUGGCCAGUGUAAACUCUACUGUGGCACAAAGAAAUUUCGACGAUUACUCGCGUAAUUUCACGUUCAAUGCGUCGUGUAAAUAGAGCUUCGAUUGCAAAUAAAUUGUCACGAUAUAUAUUUAUGUGUAUAUAUAUGUAUAUAGAAUACCACUAAAAAUUCGCUUGAGCGUACGCCCAACAUACAGACCAAACCUUUAUAUCAAUCUCAAGCACACAUCAACCGCUUUGUAAACGAUAUAACAAAAGUAGCUUAACAAACGAAGCACACAACCAAAUGACGAAUCCUACAUUGUUUUGCGUAUUUUUAGUUUUAAAUUUAAGAAAAAAUAAUACGGACUUCGAAGAACAUUAGAGUUUCGAGAAAUUAACACACGAACGUGUAUCUGUACAUCUAUACAACCCUUAACUGUGUAGUAGUAGUCAAUUAUGUUAAGGAAAUACAUACUACCUAGUAUUGCUAUACGAUUUCUUUAUUUAUAAGAAUGUUUGACAAUUAAAACGU
rnacentral:misc_RNA from 1 species